UUGCUAGUAAUCGCGGAUCAGCAUGCCGCGGUGAAUACGUUCCCGGGCCUUGUACACACCGCCCGUCACACCAUGGGAGCCGGUAAUACCCGAAGUCAGUAGUCCAACCUCGUGAGGACGCUGCCGAAGGUAGGAUUGGCGACUGGGGUGAAGUCGUAACAAGGUAAC
rnacentral:rRNA from 1 species